UAAUUUUUCAUUCAGAUGUUGUAGUUUUUAUCUCUUUAAGUUACAUUUGGGUAUUUUUAUAUCUUCCAGUACCACUUCAUCAUGCUCUUAUUUUCUUCUAUCUUCUUGAACAUACAGAACGAACUUAUAAUAGUUAUCUUAACAUCCUUGUCUGCUAAUUUCAUCAUCCAUGCCAUUUCUGGCUCCAUUUCAAUUGAUCAACUUUUCUCCUGGAUAUGGAUCAUAUAUUUCUGCUUCCUUACAUGACUAUCAUUUGUUCAUGUCAGACACUGAAUUUCACAUUAGUGAGUUUUGGCUUUUGUUGUCUUCCUUUAAAUAGUGCUGGGAUUCAUUUUCUCGAGUAGUUAACUUACUUAAAAUCAGUGGAUCUGUGGGAGGCUUGCAUUUCAGUUUUGUUGGGGGAGGGGUCCAGGCCAGCCUUCAGUCUUAGUCUAGGUCUAAUGGUAAGUCAGGCUAAUACAGCAACUUGUCUAUGGGAGGCAGCUCCACCUCCAGUCUUGGCAGGUGGAAAAGAGCCCUGCUAUGGACUGAAUUGUGUCCCUCUAAAAUUCACAUGCUGAAGCCCCUAAAAUUCACAAUACAUGUGAAUGCAUUGGUGAUAGGGCUUUAAAGAGAUGAUUAAGGUUAAAUGAAGUCACAAAGGUGGCCUGGUCCAGUAGGACUGGUGGUCCUGUAAGAAAGAGAGGAAAAUCUCCCUCUCUCUCUUUGCCCUCCUCUCUCUCCCUUUCUCCCUGCCAUGUAAGCACACAGUGAGAAGGUGGCAGUCCGCAAGCCAGGAAGCCAAAUCAUCUGGCAGCUUCAUGUUGGAUGUUCAGCCUCUGGAACUGUGAGAAAAGAAAUUUCUGUUGUUUAAGCCAACCAGCAUACAGUAUUUUUGUUAUAGCAUUCUGAGCUGACUAAUACAACCAGGAGAGAGGUCAGAGAACUAAGAGGAGGAGGAAAUGCAUCUACAGACUCAAGAACAGCAUUUUCUGAGAAGUGUUCACAAAAAAACUAGUUCCCCAAGAUGUUGGCACACUUGUUGGGUCUGGGAUGGGCAGACAGGAAGCUUCUGUGACCAGACCCGGGGUCCUGUGUAACCCCAGUUCAUAUCUGCACCUACUUAUGAUAGAAUCGGGACCUGAGGACCACCUUUCGAAUAAGCUCACCCACCAUCUCAGAGAGACCUAGGUGUCAUCUUCCCCAGGCUACAAGCAUCCUCCAGAAGACACGUCCGCAGGCCAC